AUGUGGGCGCUCCGCUCGCUGCUGGGGCUGCGGUGCGCGGCCGCGCGCAACAUGUCGCAGGGGCCGGCGCGCCGCCCGCGGCCGCCCAAGGACCCGCUGCGGCACCUGCGCACGCGGGAGAAGCGCGGCCCGUCAUGGGGGCCCGGGGGCCCGAACACCGUGUACCUGCAGGUGGUGGCAGCCGGUGGCCGGGAUGCGGGCGCCGCCCUCUACGUCUUCUCGGAAUUCAACCGGUAUCUCUUCAACUGCGGGGAAGGCGUCCAGCGACUCAUGCAGGAGCACAAGCUGAAGGUGUCCCGUUUGGACAACAUAUUCCUGACCCGAAUGCACUGGUCUAAUGUUGGCGGGUUGUGCGGAAUGAUCCUCACUUUAAAGGAAACCGGAGUUCCAAAGUGUGUGCUUUCUGGACCUGCACAACUGGAGAAGUAUUUGGAAGCUAUCAAAAUAUUUUCUGGUCCACUGAAAGGAAUAGAUCUGGCCGUGCGGCCCCACUCAGCGCCAGAAUACAAGGACGAGACCAUGACGGUGUUCCAGAUCCCCAUCCACUGUGAGCAGACGAGUGGUCAGCAGCCGCCCGCACAGAGUCCAGAGCGGCUGAGUCCACAGCCGCCUCCACAUGCAGAACCAGCUGACGGGGAGCAGCACUCGGACGGUGUCGGCUGGAAAGCGCGUGGCAGGGACACCUCCUUGGUGGUCGCUUUCGUCUGUAAGCUCCACGUGAAGAAGGGAAACUUCUUGGUGCUCAAAGCGAAGGAGCUGGGUCUCCCCGUCGGAACAGCUGCCAUCGCCCCCAUCAUUGCUGCCGUCAAGGACGGGAAGAGUGUCACCUACGAAGGGAGAGAGAUUCUGCCUGAAGAGAUCUGCACCCCUCCGGACCCCGGGAUCACCUUCAUCGUGGUAGAAUGUCCAGAUGAAGGGUUCAUCCAGCCGCUGUGUGAGAAUACCGCCUUCAGGAGUUACCAAGAGAAGGCUGACGCCCCCGUGGCCCUGGUGGUCCACAUGGCCCCGGAGCAUGUGCUCCUGGACAGCAGAUACCAGCAGUGGAUGGAGAGGUUCGGGCCCAACACUGAACACCUGGUUCUGAAUGAGAACUGUGAGUCGGUCCACAACCUGCGCAGCCACAAGAUCCAGACCCAGCUCGGGCUCAUCCACCCCGGCAUCUUCCCCCCGCUCGCCGGCCCCCGCCCUCAGGAAGGCAGUGCUGCCCAGGGUGUGCCCACGGUCCGAGGCCAGUGUCUCCUUAAGUACCAGCUCCGGCCCCGGCGGGAGUGGCAAAGGGAUGCCGUCCUGACGUGUGACCCCGAGGAGUUCAUUGCCGAGGCCCUGGAGCUCCCCAACUUCCAGGAGAGCGUGCAGGAGUACAGGAAGACGGCCCAGGACGGCCCAGAGGAGACGAGCAGCCAGUACCCAGAAGUGGUCUUCCUGGGAACAGGGUCCGCGAUCCCAAUGAAGAUCCGUAACGUGAGCUCCACGCUUGUCAACAUCAGCCCCGACACGUGCCUGCUGCUGGACUGCGGGGAGGGCACCUUCGGGCAGCUGUGCCGCCACUACGGGGACGGUGUGGACCGGGUCCUGGGCUCCCUGGCCGCCGUGUUUGUGUCCCACCUGCAUGCCGACCACCACACGGGCUUGUUGAACAUCCUGCUACAGAGAGAGCGUGCUCUGGCAUCGCUGGGCAGACCCUGCCACCCUCUGCUCGUGGUCGCCCCCACCCAGCUCCGGACCUGGCUCCAGCAGUACCAUAACCAGUGCCAGCCGCUGCUGCACCAUGUCAGUGUUAUUCCUGCCAAAUGCCUUCAGAAGGGAGCUGAGGUCUCCAGCCCUGAGGUGGAGAGGUUGAUAAAUUUGCUGCUGGAAACCUGUGGCCUGGAGGAGUUCCAGACCUGCCUGGUCCGGCACUGCAAGCAUGCCUUCGGCUGUGCGCUGGUCCACAUGUCCGGCUGGAAGGUGGUCUACUCGGGAGACACCAUGCCCUGCGAAGCUCUGGUCCAGAUGGGGAAGGAUGCCACCCUCCUGAUCCACGAGGCCACAUUGGAAGACGGUCUGGAAGAGGAAGCCAUGGAGAAGACACACAGCACCACCUCCCAGGCCAUUGGUGUGGGCAUGCGGAUGAGCGCGGCCUUCAUUAUGCUGACCCACUUCAGCCAGCGCUAUGCGAAGAUCCCGCUCUUCAGCCCUGACUUCAACGAGAAAGUGGGCAUCGCCUUCGACCACAUGAAGGUCAGCCUGGGGGACCUCCCGACGGUGCCCAGGCUGACGGCGCCGCUGAAGGCCCUGUUUGCCGGGGACCUGGAGGAGAUGGAGGGGCGCCGGGAGCGCCGGGAGCUGCGGCAGGUGCGGGCGGCCCUGCUCGCCGGGGAGGAUGUGGAGCCACCGCAGAAACGUGCCCCCGCGGAGCGGCCCCCGAGCCCGCAGAGCAAGAAGGCCAGGGCCCAGUAGACGUGGGGCCGGGGAGUGUGGAGGGAGGCCACGGCUUCCAGCGGUCUCCUGCACGAGCGCUGGGCUGGGGACGCAGCCUCAGGAACGGCAUCUCCAAGGACGGGACAUUGUGAAGGUGGCGUCUGCACCGAGUGCUGUGUCCCCGUGCUGCGGCCAAGCAGGGUCUUGGGGUACAGCUCUGCACUGCGGGUGCCCGGAAACAGCUUGAUCCUGGCAACGGCCUUCGGAGUCCAUCCCCGGGGAGCCAGCACCCCUCUGCAGCCUGGUGUCUUAGCCAAAGUCAAGUCGGGUGGACUGUCAGCUGUGGACCGCAAUGGGUGGGCGUGCAGUGGUUCCAGAAACGCAGAGAUGGGCUGCCGUUCCUGCCGCAUAAACAGACUCACCGGAGUGUGAAGCGACACCACAUGGGGCUGGCGGCCGGGCCUCCCCUAGGGCUGGACAGCACUGAGCCAUUUACAUCAAAGCCCACGGAAGAAGGUCCGCCCUGCCAGCUCCUUGCUGUGAAGAGGAAGGCCGGCCAGGCCCCAGGCUUCCAGGCUCCUGAGAGCGAGGCCCCCGGCCCCUCACCCCGUCCUGUUCCCUCCCCGCUCUGCACCAUCAGGCGGACCUCGCAGGACUCACGGCUGUCAGCACAGGUGACAGGCAGCCCCGGCUGACCACCACCGAGCCGUGCACACCCACCCUGCUGAGGAUGUUUCCGACACCAGCCCUCGGGUGGGGAGGGCAGUCACCUGGCGUGGAGGCCGAAAGUGGAUCAAAAUAGGCACAAAGUCAAAAGGCAAAGAUCAAACAAAAGGCCAGAGUCACCAUCCGGAGGGGACGAAAAAAAUUGCACCACAGAAACCUGCCACGUGGCCAUCCGCAGGGGUCCCACCUGGCGGCCGCUGCUGCGACGGCGUGGGCCGUAUGCACACGCGUGCGCAGUGCUGCUCUCAGGGCCGUGUGCAUGCGCGUGCGCGGUGCUGCUCAUAGGGCCGUGCUCUCCGACUCCUCCUCCGAGUCUCUCUUCUCAGCCACCGAGUGUCGCCGCACGUGCUCCAGGGGCCCGAGGCGCAGCGCUGACCCCAGCUCCACGUGGAUGGAGGGC